rnacentral:rRNA from 1 species
AACGUAAGAUGACUGUAGGUGAAAGCUUACAUCUCUUCGGAGCAUUUUACGAGGUGCUGCAUGGUUGUCGUCAGCUCGUGCGUGAGGUGUCGGUUAAGUCCCAUAACGAGCGCAACCCUAUCAUUAGUUGCCAUCAGGUCAAGCUGGGGACUCUAAUGAAACUGCCUACGCAAGUAGUGAGGAAGUGGGGAUGACGUCAAAUCAGCACGGCCCUUACGUCCAGGGCUACACACGUGCUACAAUGGCCGGUACAAAGGGCAGCUACCUGGUGACAGGAUGCAAAUCUCCAAAGUCGGUCUCAGUUCGGAUCGGAGUCUGCAACCCGACUCCGUGAAGUUGGAUUCGCUAGUAAUCGCGCAUCCAGCCAUGGCGCGGUGAAUACGUUCCCGGGCCUU